GGGGCAUUAGCUCAUCUGGCUAGAGCGUAUGACUGGCAGUCAUAAGGUGACGAGUUCGAGUCUCGUAUGCUCCAC
rnacentral:tRNA from 1 species